UGGGGAAUUUUGGACAAUGGGGGAAACCCUGCUCCAGCCAUCCCGCGUGUGCGAUGAAGGCCUUCGGGUUGUAAAGCACUUUUGGCAGGAAAGAAACGUCAUGGGUUAAUACCCCGUGAAACUGACGGUACCUGCAGAAUAAGCACCGGCUAACUACGUGCCAGCAGCCGCGGUAAUACGUAGGGUGCAAGCGUUAAUCGGAAUUACUGGGCGUAAAGCGUGCGCAGGCGGUUCGGAAAGAAAGAUGUGAAAUCCCAGAGCUCAACUUUGGAACUGCAUUUUUAACUACCGGGCUAGAGUGUGUCAGAGGGAGGUGGAAUUCCGCGUGUAGCAGUGAAAUGCGUAGAUAUGCGGAGGAACACCGAUGGCGAAGGCAGCCUCCUGGGAUAACACUGACGCUCAUGCACGAAAGCGUGGGGAGCAAACAGG
rnacentral:rRNA from 1 species